ensembl:lncRNA
CAGAUUCCCAGUAAUGGAAAUAUCUAGUUGCAGAAGCCUCAGUAGAAUCUUUUUUUUUUUUAACUUCUUGGCCUUACAGUCAAACCAAUGUAGUUCCCAACUAAUUUCUUAACUAGAUUCCUUUGAACUGUAUAUCAGUUCAGUUCUUAGUAUAUCCAGAAAUACUGGUUCAGUUACUGCAAGUAGUACUCUGGAGUAACUGUUGGCAUUAAUAUGGAGAAAUGUGUAUUUUGGUAAGUUGAUGAAAAGUCCCACGUUUUGAGUAGACCUUGAACUUAUCAGACCUGUCAGACCCGUGACAGGUGUAACGAGCGAAAAAAAACAAAAACAUUGAGACGUGUAGCGGCCGUUUGUAAGUUCAUCAAACCCUCUUAGGUUUCUGUGUUUCACCAAAGCUAAGAUCUGGCGGAGUGUGUCCUCCACUACCUGGGGAGAGUGAGUGUUGUUUGGAGAGUUCCCAGUCAGUAACGUUGCUACAUUAGCGCAAAACACCACAGCACCACGUGUGGGCUGCUGUUAGCUAACUAGCUAACUAGCUUUCUAGCUAACUAGCUAACUCUGGGCCGGGGAGGAGCAGACUGCUGUGACACACUACUGCUCACUCGGGGCCACAGAAACCGGUAUCCUGCCCAUGGACCGGGCCUCGGGACGGUUGUCCUCAUGGCUCACCGUGGGACAGAGGGUUGUACCUGACCGUCACUACCGACGUUCUGCAGUUCCCAUGGAGACAGUGAGUACAGACAGUUCUCCACAAGCGAGCUCCAACAGCGCGCCAACGGCUGUGGUUACUACAAAACCCCCAGGCUGUGGAGGAUCUUCAUCAUCAUCAUCACGAAUAACCCACGGGGCAAACAGUUGUCUCAUUAUGUGCGCGCGGAAACACAAUACUGGAACCGCUCCGUGCUCCCUGAGGCCAAAUGUGAACGGGUACACGUGUACGUGCACACACUCGGUUGUUCGCAGGUAUGAUAAUCAGGAGCGUAAUGGGACAAAUUAAUGAAGUUGGCGUGUCAACAAGCAGGGCAGAGAAUGUGUGUGUGUGUGUGUCAAGUGCAACAUGACCAGAAAAACCUGAAAUCUUAACUAAUGUGCGUGGAUGUCGUGUGGUUUGUAGCUAAUAUUUCUCUCAUUAGGGUUGAGAUCCGGGCCUCACUAAUGGAAAACGAUAGGCCUCAUCAAUCUCCAGCUCUUUUCCUCAGCUUCCUCUCUUCUCACUCUCCACUCAGCCCUACCCUGUGCAUUUAAUAACCAUGUGUGGAUCUUUACAGUAACUUGAAAUGAUUGGGGGUUGUCUUCGUUUUAACCAAUUGCUUAUACCGUUUCAGCAUUUCCUCAGGUAAUUUUUGUGACAUACUUAUUAUGGCUUGUUGGAAAUGUGUCACGAGUUAAAAAUACGUUUUACAAAUGUCCUCAAUCCUAAACCUAUAUUUCACUCUGUAUCCAUGUGUUGGGCUUGUGAGUUAUAGAUUUAGGGGGACCAGCUCAUUAUCAGUAAACAUGCUUUUUUGGUAACUUCUUGGGCAUAUUCACGGUUGACAGUGUCAUUUUUCGCCAGACUGCAAAAUGUAAACGAUUUAAUGUUUAACGUUCAGUCCCUACAGGACUAUUGCAGGUUUUUUUAUUGCCCGAUUUUGUGGCACCUUUAUCGAAAAGUUGCGGUGAAUAUUUUCAAUGUCAUUGCAGGAGCUAGUGAAUUGACAAAACUAGUUGCGACUGUUUUUUAGUGUUCUUUGUAACCUUACCAAAAAAAGCUCGGGAUUUCAACAAUUCUGAAACGAUAUGCUUUGUUUGAAUAUUAGUCAUUGCAUAGCCAUUCAUCGGGCAUGCUUUGCGGUAGAAAAGUGUCAGUCAAGCGAUGACUUUCGUUUGUGUUCCACCACUAUAUUGAAAGCAGUGCAAAACAGUUUACCACCCCAUCCGUGUAAUACAUCGGGAAAUUGACGCAGCAAUAUUUGAUGGCAAAUGCGCUUUUUUUGCGUCGCACAUCUUUCUCUCUGUAUUCAAGGAAGUGAGUCUGAAUCUAUCAUGAUGACGCAUGCGGAUGGGUCUAAGCUGAUUGGUAAAAUUUGCGGACAAGUUGCGGCAAUUGGACAAAAUUGCAAGGCCGUGCAAUAUUCGCUGGGAUUGAUUAAAUUUGCGUUAAUAAUUGCGAUUACGACUUCCGCGAUUAUGUGAAUAAAAAAUAAUAAAAUCACAUUUGUCACUUGAGAAAAUCUUGGAAUACUUUUUCCUAGUGUGACUGAAAAAAAAAAGGGCGGGGAAAUAUUAUCAUUUAGCCUUUAGUUGUUUAUUCUUCCCCUGUAGCCUACCAGCAUUUCUUUUCCUUAUCUGGUAACUUUGGGUUUGUUUUUGUGUGCGUGCGCGUGCGUGCGGUGUGGUGUCGCGUGCGCGUGCGCGCAAUUUCCAUAUCGGCGUGACAGAGCUGCCAUUGUGGUGUGUUGGACUAGUCCUAAUAAGCACGGGGACAGUGAGUACUGAAUCACAGGCUUUAGCUAAUUGUCUCAUUUAUAUUCAGGCUUGCAAGUAAAAUUUCGAAACUUGCAGUAGUGGCAGUACAAAAUCACCGACCUGUGAGCAAAAAUAAAUAACACAUACCUGUAAAUAUAAGAUGGCACAUAACAUGACAACACGACACAACAUACAGACAUUAAGACCAGAAUAAAGGAGGAAUCCAUCUGACUUUGGCGAUCUAGUUUUCCUGUCGGUAUAUAGUCACGGCUUUCUAAGGCCUCUAUCUGUUCACUCACAGGAAACCCGCUGGAAAAUACAGAUAGGAAACAAACCCAGACAAGCUCACGAAGAUAGAUUAUGUUUGUAUGAGUUCAAUUCCAGUCAUUCCGCUUGCCAAUAUGACUUUCUGAUUGGGAGAAAAACAAUGGGAUCAUUUAUUACCUUCUGCUUGUUAGCCUUUCCUCCAUCUUCUACUCUGACAUUUCUCACAAUUUCUCCUGUCUCCUUUCCUAACCUCCACCCACUUCCAUCCUACACGGCUCUUUUUAGUCUGUUUUCCAUUCAAAUAUACCUCAGCAUGCUCUCCUGUGUGUGUGCUUAUGUGUGUUUCUUUCCAGAUGUAAUAAUGUUGCAUUAACCUGUGAUAUGUUGUCAUUAAACCAUGUUCCGAUGGAAUACAAAGUGAGAACAGUCGCUGUCUUUUUUUGGUAUUUCUGACUCGUUCCUAGAUUCACCCAAAAGAUCAUAAAACAAAGAAAAAUGGUUACAUAACUUAUCAGUCACCCAUUACCAGUUUCAGUUGAGAAAGAAGACACACGAAAGAGAAAGAUAAAGGGUGACAUCUAGUGGUGAUAAAAGUGUAACAGCGAUGGCAGCAGCACAGCUCACACAACAUGAAAG